GAUCUCCCAGUGCUUACCACAUGCUGUGUUCUUUAUACUGACUAUACAGAAAAAGGAGGCACAGUAAUCUCAACCCAUGUACACCCCAGCCCAGGCUCUUUACCUGCUCUGUUUUGUGAAUGGGGGGGAGGGG